GGUCGCCUCGGACGCCGCGAGGACCGGAAGAGAGCAGCAAGAAGCCGAUUCCGAGGGUUGCACCGCCGGCGGCUUAAGCGACU
rnacentral:SRP_RNA from 14 species